UUUGUUUGAUUUUAGUAUAUAUAUAUAUAGGUUUUAUGGGCCCAAAAAAUAAAGCAUUGAUAUUUGGAGGAGAAAUCAACACUUUUUUAAAUGCAAAAUAUAAAUUGUUUAAUGGUACAAAUAUUAAGUGUAGAAACGGACAUGUACUUUUGUUUUCAUAAAAAGUGAGAUAUAUACGUAAACUGUAAAAGAUGUCAAUAAGUUUUUUAACUUCAACACUUGCACAUAUCAUGUCCAAAAUGUAGUGAAUUUAGCAAAAAAAUGCUGCUGAUGUUGCUUCUGUUUGAAACAGACAAACUUUUAGUUAACCAAACCACUAUUAAGCACUAUAUGAAAGAUUUGAAGAUUUAUAAAGCUUAAAAUACUGCGGGCUGAGUGGUCAAACCUUGAAAAAUCAGCAGAGUGAAAAGGUCUGUGAAGAAUAAAGAUGUGAAGACAAUGUGUUUCCUUAUUCUGUUAAUUAAUAAGGCGGAUAUUUGAACAUCAUUAGCAUCAAAAAAACUCAGGUGCAACUGCUAGGGACUGUUUCUAGCAUGUUUCUAGCAUCUAAACUAAAAGAAACUAUAUCUAGUACUGCAUAAAAAUUUGUUAUAUACAAUGACAAUUCUAUCACAGAGGAACUUUUGACUUCCAAUUCAGCAUUUUAAAUUCACCUUCUAUGAUUGCUGCUGCCGCAAUAUAUGCUGCAUGUAAAAGUCUGUCUUAUGAGCUUGGUCCCUCAUUACAAAAUCUGAAUUAGUUCAUUGGUUAAGAAAAAUAACUGGAGUAGAGGAGGAUUGUUUGGUAGAAUCUCUAAAAAGAUUGAUUUAUGUUUUGCGUACAAGUCUGUUAAAGGUUUGUGAAGAGCAACGAUGUGAAGACACUGUAUUUCCUCUCUUCCUUUAAUUUGUGAGAUUUGGUUUAUAUUCGAACCUAGUAAGUACUUAGAAAACUUAGGUGCAACUGCUAGAGAACACGCGUGUGUUUCUAAAAAUCUUAAAGAUCAAACAGACUCUAAUCAAGUACUAAAAUGGGAUUAUGUUUUUGUAAUUAUCAUCGGUUUAUUUCCUGUUGGUAUCUUUUUUAAAUCAACCUUAAUUCAAAGUUGUAAUUCAGUACCAAAUAAUUAUGCCAUAUUUAAUACAUCUUCAACAGUAUAUAACCAGUUGAUUCUCAACAACAGUUUGAGAUAAUAUCCUUUUAAUUGUCCAAAUCAAGGAAAUCGUGAGCUUCAUCUUCCGCCUUCGUAUUCAGGUAGUUUACAGCUAUUGCCAUAUCAAUUUUUUUUUGUAAAACUUUUCGUUGUAUGCACACUCACUGCGCCUAUCCCUAAAUUAGUGGAUGUAUGUACACUCACUGCGCCUAUCCCUAAAUCAGUCGAUGUAUGUCACUCACUGCGCCUAUUCCUAAAUCAGUCGAUGUAUGUACACCACGGCGAUCUAUACUGCAGGCCUUGCCAACGCAAAAAACGUAUUUCAUUGGGGGCCUAUUUUAAGCUGUACUUAACUAUAAUCGCCAUUUUAGUGAUAUUGAAAUAUGGGUAAAAAGUGUUGUAUUUAUGGCUGUACCACAAAUUAUUUAUCGGCUAAAAAGAAAUCUGAUAAUUUAAAGAUCUCAGUAUAUCGAUUUCCUAAAAAUGAAGAUGAAAAACAAAUGUGGAUUAAAGUAAUUCCAAAUGCAAAUCUAAAGGUAACUAAUGACACUGUAGUUUGUGAGUUGCAUUGGCCAAUAAAUUUUGAAAAACAACAAGUUAGAGAAAAAUUUCGUCCUAAAUUUCCACCAUCUGUUUGGCCAGGCAUACCGUCUUGUCAAAUUCCCACUCAACCUCCUCCAUUACGUUCAACAAAUAGCGCCUCUUCAUGUAUUCGAAAUUUUGCUCAAGAUGAAUUAUCAGCCUUUUUAGAAAAAGAUAGAGUAACUUUUGCUGAAAUGAAAGAAAUUCUUUUAUGUAAUGAAAGAGAUUUGGGUGUUCCAUCAGUAUGUUUUAUGAUUAAUAGCAUUAUUCAUUUGCAAUCACAAGCUUAUUCAAAUGGGGUUCCAUAUUUUUUAAUCAAGAUUAGAGACGAUUUACAUUUUGAAACUUAUCACUAUGUAGUCAAAAUUAAAAUUCCUACAAUUUCUAAAAACAGAGUUUCAAAAAUUAAUGCAUGGUCAAUAUUAGAAGAAGUCCUACGUUAUUUAAAGAGUUUGAUUCCUGGAAGAAAAGAAAUUGUAAUUCAAAAACAUUUAGCUUCUAUGAGUACACAGUGUGUUGGAAAUAAGAUUUAUUCUAAAGUUAUUAUUAGAUCUUUUCAGUAUUUUGCUACAUCCAGAAGUUUGUAUAAUCAAUUGCGAACAGAUUACCAAUUGUCUUCUGUAAGAACUUUGACAAGAAUAACUUCAAAAGUUUCUAAAUUAAACGAAAAACUUUUUUUCACUAAUAUUUUUCAAUCUAUUGAAGAAAAACAGAAAAUUUGUUUGUUAUUGCAUGACAAGGUUUAUGUUAAAAAAAUGUUGUUAUAUCUUGGUGGUACAUUGUUCGGAAAAGCAAUGGAUGAUUCAACUUCUCUUGCAAAAACUGUAUUGGGUUUAAUGGUUAAUUUUUUAUUCGGUGGACCAUCGUUCAUUUCCAAAAUGAUACCUAUAAGUAAAUUAAACUCUCAAUUUCUUUUCGAACAAAUUAGCAUUACUAUUUAAUCAAUAAAGGAAUCAUCGGGUCAAGUCAAAGCCAUAAUAUGUGAUGGAAAUAGAAUUAAUCAGGCUUUUUUUAAAAUCUUCGAAUUCACAGUUUCAAGUAAACCUUGGUUGACUAAUAAUGGUGUUUUCUUAAUCUUUGAUUAUGUACAUUUGCUUAAAAACAUUAGAAAUAAUUGGCUUACUGAAAAAACUGGUCAACUUAUAUUUUAUGAUAAAGGGGUACAAAAAGUAGCACAAUGGGAUCACCUGAAAAAACUUUAUGAACUUGAAUCUAAAAACUUAGUUAAAUUGUCUAAUUUAAACGAAGUUUCAAUAUUUCCGAAGCCAAUCGAGAGGCAGUCAGUGUCUACCUGUUUAAGGAUAUUUUGUGACAAAACUUACCAUGCUUUGAUUAAUCAUCCAGGACUGCAGCAUAUAAAAGAAAGACAAGACACAGCAGAUUUUAUUAACAUUGUCGUAUCAUGGUGGAAAGUUCUUAAUGUUAAAGGAACAGGUGCAGAUGUUAGGUUUAAUGAUGAACUUCAAGCAGUUAUUAGAGAUCCUAAUGAUAAUAGAUUAGAAAAUAUUUUAGAUUUCGGAAAUAUGGCUUUAAAGAUGGCUGGAAAGCAAGGUAAAAGGAAGAAACAACUUACUUGUGACACUGCACAAUCAAAUUACCAUACGUGCAAUGGUGUUGUUGAAUUAUGUCGUUCAUUAUUGAAUAGCUCACACCAAUAUGUUAUUCUUAGUGAGUUUUCUACUGAUCCAUUGGAAAAAGAGUUUAGCAAAUUGCGACAAGGUUCCGGAGGUACAUAUUUUAUAACAGUACAACAGGUAAUUGAAAAACUGAAUAUUUCAAGAGCCAAGCUUUUACUAUCUCUUAAUAACCCAGCUGUUCACAUAUGUCUUGAUACAACCCAUUCUUGUCCAAAUUGUGGUUUUUUAUUGGAUGAGUCCUCUGCUGAGAUAUUUGACAACCUGCCAAAUCUUGAAUCUUUUAUUUCUUCUGAUACAAAUAUGGCACUUAUAUACAUUCCAGGAUAUUUAACUCGUAAAGAUAAUGAACUAUCAGAAAAUGAGCUGCUAGAAAAAACAACUUUCUACCACCAAAAGUUUGGACAAACAUAGACUCAAUUGACCGUGGUGGACUUAAUAUUCCCACAGAUAAUACCUGUCAAUGGGUAAUUUUCGCUCUACACUACUACUGGAUCUUUAGGAAUAUAUAUAUAUAUGGUUUUUGUUUUUGG